rnacentral:lncRNA from 1 species
UCCCUCUUUAUACGAUACGUGAGUUAUCAGAAAACUCUAGCCGUCAUCUUUUUUCCUCUCUCUCUUCUUUUCUUCAAUCCUCUAGCAAGAAAGAUAUUCUCUGCAAUGGAGCUAGCACAUCGGUGAGGACAUCGAUCAGGUUAGCAAUCUUGUGUGGAUACCUCUAGAGGCCGGACGCUUGUGUAGUUUCAAGAGAAUCAAUUCUACAAUCAUCAGAUUGCGGUGAAAAUCUACCCACACAAAGGUGAAGAUUAGAUCUUUCUUUUUCUCCUUUAAUCUUAAACAAUAUGAGGGAUCCUGUUUGUGUGGUAUUUUGAGAUUGGAUCUGGAGUUUUAAAAAUCAAAUAAGUUUGAUUUUCUUUUUCUACUGCAUUUUAUUGCAUUCAAUAUUCUAACACCUACUCAUUUCAGACUCUUUCGAAACCUCUCAAAUAGAACCAUAAGCCAUUAUUCACUGGACUUUAGCAAUUUCCUAACCGAAUCGAUUGUCCUUCGCCAUUCUAAGAUGUUACUGUCAUUAGGGAGCCAAGCAAAGUGGUAGAGAAGACGAGUUUCAGACAAGAAACUCACACUGGUAAAAGUUUCAUUUGUAAAAUAUGAUUUAUUAUUAUUAUUAUUAUAGAUUUUCUUGGUUUUGAAUAGUUUUACAUGUGUCAUGAUUGACUAUUCUCUAUGUUUGAACAAUUUGUUACUUUUAUUUGUGGUCUGGUGGAGUUUGGGCUCAAAAAGUAGCUUCAGAAUACCGUGUGGUCGACUAACUGUGAUCCAUGGUCAACCAAGAUAAUCUCCAUAUGAAGCUGUAGCUUUUGUUCGUCGAACGUUUGAUUGUCGCCACUUACGACCAUGAACGCCAUAGAGAGCCUAAACUUUAUUUUCUUUUGCUUUGCUGAAGCCUAGUAAUUAUAAUUCUUACUUUAGAAGGCUGUAGUAAUAUAGUCGGGAUUUCUGUGUGUUUUCUCUUUAGAUUCAUUUAUUAUAAGUCCGCAUUUAUCAUCCUUACUUUUCCUUAUCGUCAAGGAUCUUACAAUUUCAAGUGAGUAGUAAACUAUCUCAUUAAAUUAAGCUACCAAAUUAAUAUCUUAAAUUCUUAUUGGUAUUGAUACAUUUGCCCAUUAGAUAUAUUGUUAUGGAGGGUGAUAUUGGAUACAUGAUAUUUAUGUAUUGUAAAAUUGGAUAUAUGAUUGAUGCUUGUUGUAAAAUAUAACUUUUUUUUCCUAGUUAAACCUUAAUUUUAUAAAGAUGUAAAAUAUAAUACUUACAUCGGUCACCCACAAUUCAUAAUGGCACGAUUGGAAUUAACCUUAGAAUUCACCUUGACCAAAUUGUGACCUAAAAUCGCCCACGACUCAUAAUGGCGUGAUUAGAAUAUGGUCUCAUUUACCAAUUUUGAAAUUUGCCGAUCUUAGGAUUCACAAAAAUCUAAACAACUUUUAGUAAAAUAAAAAAGUUGAUGUGAUAAGUAGAAAAUUGAUGGUCCUUAAAUAAAAAGGUUGUAAGAUUUUACACCCUAAUUUGGGGUGUAUCAAUGAAAUUGCUAUCCAAAAAAAGAAAACUUUUGCUUCUACACUCCAAAAGGGGACAUAGAUCUUGCACCUUAUAUCCUAGAGUUCACAAAAAUUCAAAUAAUUUUUAGUAAAAUAAAAAAAUUGAUGCGACAAAUGGAAAAUCGAUAACCCUUAGGUGAAGAGAGUGUAAGAUUUACACCCCCACUUUGGAGUGUACUAAUAACAUUACUCUCCAAUAAAGGAAAAUUUUAUUUUUACACUCCAAAAAGGGGGAUGUAGAUCUUAAACCCACUUUUCUAGGGUUCACAAAAAUCUAAAUAGUUUUUAGUAGAAUAAAAUUAUUUGGAGACCUCUCACCUUUACACUAAUACAAAAGUCAUCCCUCAACAAUUAUAUUCUUUUUUAUGGCUAAGAUGCAGAUAAUUUCUCUCUCUAUAUAACAUGUUGUGCUUUACCUCCAGACAAAAAAAAUAUGGCCUUUUAUCUUCUUAAGAUGUAGAUAAUUUCUCUAUUUUUUUUUCCUUGUUUGUCUUUCUCCUUUCACUAACGAACGGUACAUUUCCCUCCUCGUUAUUUUUUUCUCUCCUUCUCUUCCUGUUUCCUCUUUCUUCUCCUCCUUCUCCACUGCCCUACAUUGACGCUGCGCUCUACUAUCUUACCUCACCCACACCUCCGCCGGUGCUAGCUCGAAUAUGACACAGAUCGCGGAGGUGAGGUUGCGGAGGAGCGCAUGGCCGCUAACUGUGGCGGCUAUGAGAGUGCUAUAGGAUUUGAGGACGACGGGAAGAGAGAGCAUGUUGCAAUGGGGGCAGCGGCUGCAGUAGAGGGCAAGGGGCCGCAAUAGUCGGAAAAGAUGCAGAGGGUAGAAGAAAAAAAAUAAAUAAAUAAAGGAAAAAUAUUUUUUCCUCCUAAGAAGACCAUCAUAUGUCGCAACCGCUAUAGGGAAGGCCAAAAAGUGAAGAAGAAAGAAAAUGAUGACGAAGUUACACAAUUUGAGAUGAAAAUUGCACCAUUUGAGACGAAAAUUUCACUAUUUGAGAUGGAACUUGCAUUAUUUGAGACAAAAGUUGCACUAUUUGAGUCGAAAGUUGUACUAUUUGAUAUGAAAGUUGCACUAUUUGAGAUAAAAGUUGCACUCUUUAAGGCGAAAGUUGCACUAUGUAAACAAUUUGAAAAACCAAACUAAGUUGCAAACAGAAAUUAUUUGAGACUAAGUUGCACUGUUUGAGACUAAAUCUCAAAUAUUUUUUAAAAAAUGCAACUUUCACUUCAAAGAGUGCAGUUGUGCAACUUUCGUCUCAAAUGGUACAACUUUUGUCUCAAAAUGGUGCAACUUUUGUCUUAAACAGUGUUACUUUCUUCUUAAGCUGUGCAACUUUUAUCUCAAAUUGUACAACUUCGUCUUCUUCUUUCUUUUAUGCUUCUUUGCUUUUCUUGUAGCAGCCAUGACAUAUGAUAGCCUUUCCAGAAGAUUAGUACUUUUUUUUCUUUUUUUUUUGUUCUAUCCUCUAUAUCUUUUUAUGCUAUUGCACCUCCUCCCUCACCCUCUAUUCCAACCGCAGCCGUUCCCCUUGCCCUAAUGUGCUUUCUCUUCUUGUCAUUCUCAAAUCCUGUGACACUCUCAUUAUCGUUACUGUCCACAACAAUGCACUCCGCUGCAAUCUCACUUCUGCGAUUUGUGCCCUAUCUAAGCCGGCAUUGCCAGAGGUUUACGCGAGGUAAAAGAGUAAAGAGCAGUGUCGAUAUGGGGGCAGUGAAGAAGGAGGGGAAAGGAGAGGAAGCAUGAGGAGAAUGAGAGGAAGAAACGACGAGGAGAAACGAAAAAUGGAAAUAGAAUGACGAAGAUAGAAAAUAAAAUAGAGAUUGAAAAAGGAAUAAGAAUAUUUUGAUCAGUUUACUAAAAAUUUGGGCCGAAUCUAUAAAAUCCAAAAUGAAAUGAUAGCCGGUUUAGCAAAAAUGUAAAGUCAGUGAAUUUUUUUAUGCAAAUUGGCCUUAAAAAAUAAGUUAAAUAAUCAAAAUACCUCUUUUAUGUAAGUUUUCAGAGGAUUAAGUGCAUACGUUUUUAUCCAAAGUGUUAAGAAUAACACCUAACUAGUGAAAUACCCGCGCGAUGCUGCGGAUAUAAGAAUAUUUUUAUAAUAAAUUUUACUCUUUUUUUCAUAUCUUUAUAUAAUUUUAUAAAUCUAAUUAUUAAUUAAAUAAAAGUUAUAUAAAAAUAAUUGAAUAAUUAAAUCUAUUUAAAUAAAAUUUAUUAAAAUUGGUAUAUGUGCAAAGUAAAUUUAUACAAUAAUUUAUUUUAUAAAU